UGGCUCUCCACGGCUGCGCGGCCUCCAUGCAGAGCAGCCGUAGCUGUCGGCGGAGGCCCGGAUCAUUUUGGACAGUAUCAUUAAAUGCCAUGUCAUUACCCGUUAUGGAGUAGUGCUCUCACUCCCUGCUUCUCCCCUGGGAUGGUGAAGCCCAUCUGAUAGCUGUCCCCUGAGGUGAAGGACGCUCGUAGAUGAAAGAAUGAAAGAAGACGAGUCAUACUGAGGACAGCUCCUGCUGCGCUUAGGCCACCACAACACACACUGGCUGACUGGCCACUACUUAGUUGCAGAAAAUGUGUUUGUAUGGCCAAAAGAAAUGGAGAUCAAGGGUGUGGAUGUCACUGCCUGGAGGCUGGAGCAUGAGUAUGGACAGUCACCCGGCUGGACCAAAU